AGAGUUUGAUCAUGGCUCAGGAUGAACGCUGGCGGCGUGCCUAACACAUGCAAGUCGAGCGGUAUAUAGUGGAAUGAAACUUCGGUCGAGUGAAGCUAUAGAGAGCGGCGGACGGGUGAGUAACGCGUAGGCAACCUGCCCCAUACAGAGGGAUAGCCUCGGGAAACCGGGAUUAAAACCUCAUAACGCGAGGAGUUCACAUGGACUACUCGCCAAAGAUUUAUCGGUAUGGGAUGGGCCUGCGUCUGAUUAGCUAGUUGGUGAGGUAACGGCUCACCAAGGCGACGAUCAGUAGCCGACCUGAGAGGGUAAUCGGCCACAUUGGAACUGAGACACGGUCCAAACUCCUACGGGAGGCAGCAGUGGGGAAUAUUGCACAAUGGGCGAAAGCCUGAUGCAGCAACGCCGCGUGAGCGAUGAAGGCCUUUGGGUCGUAAAGCUCUGUCCUUGGGGAAGAAACAAAUGACGGUACCCUUGGAGGAAGCCCCGGCUAACUACGUGCCAGCAGCCGCGGUAAUACGUAGGGGGCGAGCGUUAUCCGGAAUUAUUGGGCGUAAAGAGUGCGUAGGUGGCCAUGUAAGCGCGGGGUGAAAGGCAAUAGCUUAACUAUUGUAAGCCUUGCGAACUGUGUGGCUUGAGUGCAGGAGAGGAAAGUGGAAUUCCUAGUGUAGCGGUGAAAUGCGUAGAUAUUAGGAGGAACACCAGUGGCGAAGGCGACUUUCUGGACUGUAACUGACACUGAGGCACGAAAGCGUGGGGAGCAAACAGGAUUAGAUACCCUGGUAGUCCACGCCGUAAACGAUGAGCACUAGGUGUCGGGGUCGCAAGACUUCGGUGCCGCAGUUAACGCAUUAAGUGCUCCGCCUGGGGAGUACGCACGCAAGUGUGAAACUCAAAUGAAUUGACGG
rnacentral:rRNA from 1 species